UGAGUUUGAUCCUGGCUCAAGACGAACGCUGGCGGCGUGCUUAACACAAGCAAGUCGAACGCUGAAGCUUGGUGCUUGCACUGGGUGGAUGAGUGGCGAACCGGUGAGUAAUACGUGAGUAACCUGCCCUUGACUCUGGGAUAAGCCUGGGAAACUGGGUCUAAUACUGGAUACGACAUGUCACUGCAUGGUGGUGUGUGGAAAGGGUUUUACUGGUUUUGGAUGGGCUCACGGCCUAUCAGCUUGUUGGUGGGGUAAUGGCCUACCAAGGCGACGACGGGUAGCCGGCCUGAGAGGGUGACCGGCCACACUGGGACUGAGACACGGCCCAGACUCCUACGGGAGGCAGCAGUGGGGAAUAUUCAGAAUGGGCGGAAGCCUGAUGCA
rnacentral:rRNA from 1 species